rfam:Geobacter uraniireducens Rf4, complete genome.
AGACGAUAAUACUAAACCAUCCGUGAGGAUGGGGCGGAAAGCCUAAAGGGUCUCAAGCCAGACAGCCGGGUUGCCGAA